rnacentral:tRNA from 3 species
GCAGGGGUGGCCGAGCCUGGUCAAAGGCGCAGGACUUAAGAUCCUGUCUCUUAGGAGUUCGAGGGUUCAAAUCCCUCCCCCUGCA